rnacentral:rRNA from 1 species
CCUACGAGAGGCAGCAGUGGGGAAUAUUGGGCAAUGGGCGCAAGCCUGACCCAGCAAUGCCGCGUGAAGGAAGAAGGCUUUCGGGUUGUAAACUUCUUUGACAGGGGACGAGCAGCAGACGGUACCCUGAAAACAAGCCACGGCUAACUACGUGCCAGCAGCCGCGGUAAAACGUAGGUGGCAAGCGUUGUCCGGAUUUACUGGGUGUAAAGGGCGUGUAGCCGGGAGGGUAAGUUAGAUGUGAAAUCCGGAGGCUCAACUUCCGAAUUGCAGUUGAAACUGUUCGGCUAGAGUGCUGGAGCGGCAGGCGGAAUGCCUGGUGUAGCGGUGAAAUGCGUAGAGAUAA